AAAAGAACUUUGAAGAGAGAGUUCAAGAGUACGUGAAACCGUUCAGGGGUAAACCUGAGAAACCCAAAAGAUCGAAUGGGGAGAUUCAUCGUCAGCGGCUCUGGCUUCCGUGCGGUUCGCGAUGGCCGGGACCUCGGUCUCGCGUCACGCGUCCGCUGCGGCAUGUCCGGAUGCCGUCGGCGUGCACUUCUCCCCUAGUAGGACGUCGCGACCCGUUGGGUGUCGGCCUACGGCCCGGUUGGUCGACUGUCGCGUCGCGCUCACCCGUGUACGCGGCAGACCACCGGUCGCCCGGCCGACUGCCCGGCGGUAUAGAUCGCUAUUAAACACGGUAUUGGGCCGCAUCAAGUGCGUUCUGGCUCGCCGGCAGGCUCGUCUCGCUCGGAUUUACGGACCUAGUGCCGUUGCCGGGUGCUUGGCGUGGCCGUUAGUCGGACGAUGUCCUCGGACUGGCUCUUACAUUCGAACGAAUAUACCGGUCAGCGACGCUACUGCUUUGGGUACUUUCAGGAC
rnacentral:rRNA from 1 species